UACGGGGGGGGCAAGCGUUGUUCGGAAUUACUGGGCGUAAAGGGCUCGUAGGCGGCCAACUAAGUCAGACGUGAAAUCCCUCGGCUUAACCGGGGAACUGCGUCUGAUACUGGAUGGCUUGAGUUUGGGAGAGGGACGCGGAAUUCCAGGUGUAGCGGUGAAAUGCGUAGAUAUCUGGAGGAACACCGGUGGCGAAGGCGGCGUCCUGGACCAACACUGACACUGAUGAGCGAAAGCCAGGGGAGCAAACGGG
rnacentral:rRNA from 1 species